AAUACCUCACCUGUAACACCAAGAGAAUUACAACAAAAGCAUGAAGAGGAUGACAAUGAUGAUGGUCUGUCUCGAGUAGAAAAGCGCCGGGCAGCAAGACAAAGAAGGCAGGCGCAAGAAGAAGGGGCAGGUAAUGGAGGAAGCUCAAGUCCAUUAAUUAACAAUGACAGGCCUAGUAGGGAUCGACGCUCUGGGCUUGAUUCUGGUGGAUUGCAACAAAAGUUGGAUUUGGCUAAUCUUACCAUUUCCCACCUAAACGACGAAGUUGACAGGUUGAAAAAAGAAGUGUCAACAUUAAAGGAAGAUCUUCAACGGGAACGAGAUGAAAAGGGUUCUUUGUUAAAAGCAAUGACGAGUCUUACAAGAUAAAAGUUCUGGAAAGUGGAUCAUUUUAUCCCUAGGUAUCGGUGAAUUAAAUCUACAAACUGUUUGCUGUUUUAACGUCGAUCGCUUAACAAAUCGUUAAUAGCAUUCAUACAUGAUGCUGUUUGAGUCGUGAUGUGUAAACAAACAACUGCAGUUCUCCAUACCUACUCCCUUUGCCUUUUUGUUUUUAUCCCUCCCCAUGUACUCUCCCACCCCCAUAUUAUUUCCCACAUCCAACUCUGCUGCAGAUUAGAUAAUGGUGAUCCAUUGUUUCUAUUGAAUCAUUUGAUAACCUACAGUAAAAUGAAACAGGGUAAUAAAUAACACUACUGCUGUCUACCAUAAUCACCGUAACAAUUUGAAAUACUUAGUAUUGUUAGAAUUAUAAGAAGGGUGAUGUGAAUUAUUGUUAAUAAUUGUUUUUUUUUAAUUAUUUGAAAGUUAAUUUUAACCAAUUCCUAUCUAAACUGCCUGAAACAAUAACAAAAUAAAAGCAGUUUUUAUACAGAAUUGGGUUUUUAUUCAAUAAUUUUAAUGAAAUAAGUCUUUAACAGGAAAAGUUUACUACAAAUAUAAAAUAAAAACACUGAAAAAUUAGUUGAAAGUCUAGUUUUUAAUACUUUUAUAAUUUCCUCUCAAACAUUUGUGGUGAUUUCCAUUGAUUAUACAAAAUAUCUGGUGUGCUAUCAAAUGCUGUGUUGUCCACUGAACGCUAAAAGUUAACUAAUACAAUGUGCUCAGCUUUUUUACCCACCUUGAUAUAAUUAUUUUGAGUGGUUGUGAUCUUUUUUGUGAUGGGGUGAGUGUGUGUGUGUGUAUAAAGUAAUUCUGUGCGUAAUAUAGAUGGAGUUUUAAUUUUACAAUGAGGUAGGUACAUAUCGUCGCUCACAUCACGAACUAACACAAUCUACUUUGAUUGUGUUAGUUCGUGAUGUGAGCGUAUACCUAAUAUUUUUAUGAAGACUGAUGCAACUUUUAUUUUAAUGUGCUCAUCCAUUUUUCAUUGGUUGAUCCAGUUUAUUUCAAUUUUAAAUAUUUUAUUUUACUUUGUAAUUUUGAUAUUAUAAUAUAUGCCAAUGCUGUAUUAAUAUACAACUAUGUAGAAUUUCACAAUAAUACCCAACUCGCUAUAUACAGUACCUUAAUAUGAUUUGUGUAACAGAUUUGGUAAUGGCCUGUUGGUAAAUAUUGAAUACACAGUAAUGCAACACCAUCCAACAACAGGUUAAGGUUAAUCUUUUCAACUAACAAAAUCAAAUUACUAUGCAAAACAAUUGAAAAUGUGUUUAAUUGAAUACAAUUGUUUUAAAUUGGAAAAAGAUCAGGGUUGAUUUUAAGCAUAUUAUUAACUGAAUAUUUUGUAAAACUGAUUGUACAAAAAGAUAAUUCUACAAAAUUUGUAUGUACAAUACAUUUUAAGAUGAGAUCCUUGCUCAAUUACUUGCCCAUUACCUUGCGUCCAAAAAAAAAAAAAAAUUGUAUAAUUUUCAACUACAUUUUAAUUUACUUAAUCAAUUCUUAAAAUAUACAAACAGUGGAGUAAUAAAGAGUAACCUGGAUUAGUUUCAGAUUUUAUCUCUACAACUUGUUGUGAUCAAUUAUUCUUAAAACUAAAAAAAAAAAAUUAAAAUUAAAGAUACCAUGACCAUGAAAAAAUGUUUGAAAAUAAAAAUCAAUUUUAGGUAAGGUUUUGCUUUCAACAAACUUUGAAAAAGAAAAUUAACCUAAGCAUAAAUAAUAACUUUUCUAUUUUCUUUGCAAAUAAAUUGACUAAAUUUAAGGAUUUUGGUAGUGAAAAGUAUAAAUCAGCAAAAUCUGAAUUGUUUAGAUCUUUGUCUUGUUGAAAUAUAUGUUUUAUUUAAUCUUUUUAAAUGAGCAAUGAAAUUUUUAAAUCAAAAUGUUUGAAAUAAAAAAGCAAUAUUGUAUUACAUAUCUGAUACAUUUUGAGAAUCUACUCUAUGUAAAAAGUUGUUUUAAUGUUUCCAUAGUAAUCAUUUAUAUAUUGAUUUGAUUGGUCAUCCACAAAUUGGACUGGAAAUCUGCUAUUUGAUUGGUCAGUUACUUAUUCAUUAACAUAAGUAGAAAAUUGUAAUUAAUCAACAAAAUUUUAUGUAUAUUGCUAUAUAAGAAAACAUUUCUAAUUUGUCCCAAACUUGCAGUAAAUGAAGGAAUGAAUAUAUUUACUUGGAAUUAAUAAGAUUCUACCUAUGAAAAUGUGUAUUUCGCCUUCAUAUAUAUAGUAGUAGAGCUUAAACAUGAAAGAUUAUUUUUAUUCAUUUGCAUAAAAAAAAUAUUGUUACUUGGAAGAUUUUGACGUAUUAUUUAACUGCUUAAUAUUCUGAAAUUUUAAGAGAUGCUGAGAUAGUUAAUAAUUAAUUAACAAUCAUGUUAUUCUUUGCUGUCUAUAACUAAUAAAUUUACUUAAAAUAUUAAUUAUUUUGUUUAAAAAUAUCAUAAACCUCCAUAAACUUACUGUGAUAAGGGGAUACUAUUGCAUAACUACAUUUCUCCAUGAAGUUAUUUAACGUGAUUUCAUGGUUUGCACUGUAUUAUAAUAAUAACAUUCAAAUACGAUUAUUAUUUGUAGCUGUAGAGUAAAAUGUACAGAUUGCAAGAUGAAAUAAAUACUCAACAAUGUACAGAAACAA